rnacentral:rRNA from 1 species
GAUGAACGCUAGCGGCAGGCUUAACACAUGCAAGUCGAGGGGUAGAGGUUGCUUGCAACCUUGAGACCGGCGCACGGGUGCGUAACGCGUAUGCAACCUACCUUUUACAGAGGGAUAGCCCAGAGAAAUUUGGAUUAAUACCUCAUAGUAUAUAACCUUCGCAUGUUGGUUAUAUUAAAGUUCCAACGGUAAAAGAUGGGCAUGCGUCCUAUUAGCUAGAUGGUAAGGUAACGGCUUACCAUGGCGACGAUAGGUAGGGGUCCUGAGAGGGCGAUCCCCCACACUGGUACUGAGACACGGACCAGACUCCUACGGGAGGCAGCAGUGAGGAAUAUUGGACAAUGGGCGCAAGCCUGAUCCAGCCAUGCCGCGUGCAGGAAGAAGCAUCUAUGGUGUGUAAACUGCUUAUGUACAGGAAGAAACACCCCGACGUGUCGGGGCUUGACGGUACUGUAAGAAUAAGGAUCGGCUAACUCCGUGCCAGCCGCCGCGGUAA